rnacentral:tRNA from 1 species
GCCGGCGUAGCUCAGUGGUAGAGCGUCUGAUUUGUAAUCAGGGGGUCGGGGGUUCAAAUCCCUCCGCCGGCACCA